rnacentral:rRNA from 1 species
AGGGUUCGAUCAUGGCUCAGGAUGAACGCUAGCGGCAGGCUUAACACAUGCAAGUCGAGGGGUAACAGGGAUUGCUUGCAAUCCGCUGACGACCGGCGCACGGGUGCGUAACGCGUAUGCAACCUACCUUCUACAGGGGAAUAGUCAAUAGAAAUGUUGAAUAAUACCCCAUACGAUCUUUGAAUAGCAUUAUUUAGAGAAGAAAGUUCCGGCGGUAGAAGAUGGGCAUGCGUCCUAUUAGUUAGUUGGAGAGGUAACGGCUCCCCAAGACAUCGAUAGGUAGGGGUCCUGAGAGGGAGACCCCCCACACUGGUACUGAGACACGGACCGGACUCCUACGGGAGGCAGCAGUGAGGAAUAUUGGACAAUGGAGGCAACUCUGAUCCAGCCAUGCCACGUGCAGGAAGACUGCCCUAUGGGUUGUAAACUGCUUUUAUACAGGAAGAAAUGUACCUACGUGUAGGUAUUUGACGGUACUGUACGAAUAAGGAUCGGCUAACUCCGUGCCAGCCGCCGCGGUAAUUC